rnacentral:tRNA from 1 species
UCCCUGGUGGUCCAGUGGUUAAGACUCUGAACUUCCAAUUCAGGGGUCAUGGGUUCAAUCCCUGGUCACGUAA